AUUGAACGCUGGCGGCAGGCCUAACACAUGCAAGUCGAGCGAGCGGCGGACAGGUGAGUAAUGUCUGGGAAACUGCCUGAUGGAGGGGGAUAACUCCUGGAAACGGUAGCGAAUACCGCAUACCAUCAGAUGUGCCCACAUGGGAUUAGCGAGUAGUGGGGGUAACAGCUCACCUAGGCGACGAUCCCUAGCUGGUCUGAUAGGAUGACCAGCCACACUGGAACUGAGACAAGGUCCAGACUCCUACGGGAGGCAGCAGUGGGGAAUAUUGCACAAUGGGCGCAAGCCUGAUGCAGCCAUGCCGCGUGUAGGAAGAAGGCCUUCGGGUUGUAAAGUACUUUCAGCGAGGAGGCGUUACCCGCAGAAGAAGCACCGGCUAACUCCGUGCCAGCCGCCGCGGUAAUUC
rnacentral:rRNA from 1 species